rnacentral:rRNA from 1 species
GAGCGGUAACAGGUGUAGCAAUACAUGCUGACGAGCGGCGAACGGGUGAGUAAUGCUUUGGAAUCUUCCCAGUAGUGGGGAAUAACCAGUCGAAAGAUUGGCUAAUACCGCAUACAUCUGUAAAGGGAAAGCGGGGGCUCGUAAGACCUCGCGCUAUUGGAUGAGCCAAAGUCGGAUUAGCUAGUUGGUGGGGUAAUGGCCUACCAAGGCGACAAUCCGUAGCUGGUCUGAGAGGACGACCAGCCACACCGGAACUGAGACACGGUCCGGACUCCUACGGGAGGCAGCAGUGGGGAAUAUUGGACAAUGGGGGCAACCCUGAUCCAGCGACGCCGCGUGUGUGAAGAAGGCCCGCGGGUUGUAAAGCACUUUUAGUGGGGACAAAAAGCUACGGAUUAACACCCUGUGGUCUUGAUUUAACCCACAGAAAAAGCACCGGCUAACUCUGUG